CCUACGGGAGGCUGCAGUGGGGAAUAUUGCACAAUGGGGGAAACCCUGAUGCAGCGACGCCGCGUGAGUGAAGAAGUAUUUCGGUAUGUAAAGCUCUAUCAGCAGGAACGAGACAAGACGGUACCUGACUAAGAAGCCCCGGCUAACUACGUCCCAGCAGCCGCGGUAAUACGGAGGAUGCUAGCGUUAUUCGGAUUUAUUGGGCUUAAGGGGUGCGCAGGCGGAAGAUCAAGUCAGCGGUAAAAUUGAGAGGCUCAACCUCUUCGAGCCGUUGAAACUGGUUUUCUUGAGUGAGCGAGAAGUGUGCGGAAUGCGUGGUGUAGCGGUGAAAUGCAUAGAUAUAACGCAGAACUCCGAUUGCGAAGGCAGCAUACCGGCGCUCAACUGACGCUCAUGCACGAAAGUGUGGGUAUCGAACAGGAUUAGAUACCCUUGUAGUC
rnacentral:rRNA from 1 species